GGAUUAGAUACCCUGGUAGUCCACGCCCUAAACGAUGUCAACUAGUUGUCGGGUCUUCAUUGACUUGGUAACGUAGCUAACGCGUGAAGUUGACCGCCUGGGGAGUACGGUCGCAAGAUUAAAACUCAAAGGAAUUGACGGGGACCCGCACAAGCGGUGGAUGAUGUGGAUUAAUUCGAUGCAACGCGAAAAACCUUACCUACCCUUGACAUGUAUGGAAUCCUGCUGAGAGGUGGGAGUGCCCGAAAGGGAGCCAUAACACAGGUGCUGCAUGGCUGUCGUCAGCUCGUGUCG
rnacentral:rRNA from 1 species